AUUGAACGCUGGCGGCAUGCCUUACACAUGCAAGUCGAACGGUAACAGGUCUUCGGAUGCUGACGAGUGGCGAACGGGUGAGUAAUACAUCGGAACGUGCCCGAUCGUGGGGGAUAACGAGGCGAAAGCUUUGCUAAUACCGCAUACGAUCUACGGAUGAAAGCGGGGGAUCUUCGGACCUCGCGCGGACGGAUCGGCCGAUGGCAGAUUAGGUAGUUGGUGGGAUAAAAGCUUACCAAGCCGACGAUCUGUAGCUGGUCUGAGAGGAUGAUCAGCCACACUGGGACUGAGACACGGCCCAGACUCCUACGGGAGGCAGCAGUGGGGAAUUUUGGACAAUGGGCGAAAGCCUGAUCCAGCCAUGCCGCGUGCAGGAUGAAGGCCUUCGGGUUGUAAACUGCUUUUGUACGGAACGAAAAGCCUCUUUCUAAUAAAGAGGGGUCAUGACGGUACCGUAAGAAUAAGCACCGGCUAACUACGUG
rnacentral:rRNA from 1 species